rnacentral:rRNA from 1 species
GACGAACGCUGGCGGCGUGCUUAACACAUGCAAGUCGAACGGUAAGGCCCUUCGGGGUACGACGAGUGGCGAACGGGUGAGUAACACGUGGGUGAUCUGCCCUGCACUUCGGGAUAAGCUUGGGAAACUGGGUCUAAUACCGGAUAGGACCACGGUCUGCAUGGAUUGUGGUGGAAAGCUUUUGCGGUGUGGGAUGGGCCCGCGGCCUAUCAGCUUGUUGGUGGGGUGAUGGCCUACCAAGGCGACGACGGGUAGCCGGCCUGAGAGGGUGUCCGGCCACACUAGGACUGAGAUACGGCCCAGACUCCUACGGGAGGCAGCAGUGGGGAAUAUUGCACAAUGGGCGCAAGCCUGAUGCAGCGACGCCGCGUGGGGGAUGACGGCCUCGGUUGUAACGUCUUCUAGCAUCG